CCUACGGGAGGCAGCAGUAGGGAAUUUUGCGCAAUGGGCGAAAGCCUGACGCAGCAACGCCGCGUGAUCGAGACGCCCUUCGGGGUGUAAAGAUCUGUCAGUGGGGACGAAACUUGACGGUACCCACAGAGGAAGCACCGGCUAACUCCGUGCCAGCAGCCGCGGUAAUACGGGGGGUGCAAGCGUUGUCCGGAAUCAUUGGGCGUAAAGAGUUCGUAGGCGGCACGUAAAGUCUGGUGUUAAAGGCAGAGGCUCAACUUCUGUACGGCACUGGAUACUUGCGAGCUAGAAUGCGGUAGAGGUAA
rnacentral:rRNA from 1 species